UACGUAGGGAGCAAGCGUUGUCCGGAAUCAUUGGGCGUAAAGCGCACGUAGGCGGCUCUUUAAGUCGGGGGUGAAAUCCUGGAGCUCAACUCCAGAACUGCCUUCGAUACUGAAGAGCUUGAGUCCGGGAGAGGUGAGUGGAACUGCGAGUGUAGAGGUGAAAUUCGUAGAUAUUCGCAAGAACACCAGUGGCGAAGGCGGCUCACUGGCCCGGUACUGACGCUGAGGUGCGAAAGCGUGGGGAGCAAACAGG
rnacentral:rRNA from 1 species